rnacentral:lncRNA from 1 species
AGGCGGGUAACGGAGAUAUUGGUACCCACCCCGAACCCGUCCCCGAACCUGCCCGUUUAUAUAAAAUUACUAUAUUACCCCUAUUUAUUUAUUUAUAAUGUCACAGAUCAUAUAAUUUAUCUACUUGAGUUAAGAUUUUUAAUGAACAAUGAUUCUUAGUUAUUUGUUUUUUUAGCAAUUUCAGUGAACAAUGAUGUAGAACAUUCUUGGUUAUGUGGUUGUUUUGACGGUAUUUUGGAAUAUUGGUUUCUACCGGUACUAUGUUAUGGUUUUGAUAAUUUUGGUUUGAUAUUUUGGAAUAUCAUUUCAUUUGUAUGUUUAAUGCAUUGAAAUUUUGGUUUGUACUUUAUUAUUUGAAAUUUUUUGUAUUGUAUGUAUGUCAGUAUUCGGGAAAAUUUUGGGUUCGGGUAAGGUUCAGCAGGN